UGAUGUUUCGAAAUUCUGUAAUGUGUUC
rnacentral:piRNA from 1 species